ensembl:rRNA 5S_rRNA 5S ribosomal RNA
UACCCUAACCAUAUCACAUUGUAGCCCAAGACCAGUUAUUAACUGAAGCUAAGCAGGGGUGAGCCUGGUCAGUACCUGGAUGGGAGACCACAUGGAAAAACCUGUGGUCUGUGUAA